rnacentral:rRNA from 1 species
UGGGGAAUUUUGGACAAUGGGCGAAAGCCUGAUCCAGCAAUGCCGCGUGUGUGAAGAAGGCCUUCGGGUUGUAAAGCACUUUUGUCCGGAAAGAAAUCCUUGGCUCUAAUACAGUCGGGGGAUGACGGUACCGGAAGAAUAAGCACCGGCUAACUACGUGCCAGCAGCCGCGGUAAUACGUAGGGUGCAAGCGUUAAUCGGAAUUACUGGGCGUAAAGCGUGCGCAGGCGGUUUGCUAAGACCGAUGUGAAAUCCCCGGGCUCAACCUGGGAACUGCAUUGGUGACUGGCAGGCUAGAGUAUGGCAGAGGGGGGUAGAAUUCCACGUGUAGCAGUGAAAUGCGUAGAGAUGUGGAGGAAUACCGAUGGCGAAGGCAGCCCCCUGGGCCAAUACUGACGCUCAUGCACGAAAGCGUGGGGAGCAAAACAGGAUUAGAUACCCUGGUAGUCCACGCCCUAAAACGAUGUCAACUAGUUGUUGGGGAUUCAUUUCCUUAGUAACGUAGCUAACGCGUGAAGUUGACCGCCUGGGGAGUACGGUCGCAAGAUUAAAACUUCAAAUGGAAUUGACGGGGUCAUAGCUGUUUCCU